UUAUUACCUCUUAUUGCCAAAGUGAUUGAAGAAUUAUUUUUUGUUUGUUUGCCCGAUGAAGGACACUGAGUGGUUUCUGUUGUGACAGGCUAACACGAUCCUAUCCCUCAGAAUAUCAACAUAUAGGUAAAGCAGACAAUGAAAAAAAUUGCAUAUCUUGAUACAACAAAAAUUUAACUUACAGGAUAUGACGAAAUUGGGGGAG
rnacentral:misc_RNA from 1 species